UCUCUUACUGUCCUGAUUUGUGGCUGUCUCCCCACAGUGGUGAGCAAUGCCAGGGCAGGGACAGACACUUCUCCCAUGUAUGCCCAAUCCAGAGCCCUAGGCAAUCAAAGGUACUUUUGUGGGAGACGCCAGGUGCUGACUGAAGAGCAGUGAUGUCUAAGGCAGCCAGCAGGAGAGAAGGCAUUGGUUCUGCUAUGGAGGUGAAAAUAGACAUGACUCCCACCAAGCAGCCCCUUUGUGCUUGCCACGCCCCCAAAUCAACCAUCAGAUUGGGGCUGACUCCUAGAAGUUCAGUCUAAAUAAAAUCACAUGUUCCUGGAA